rnacentral:tRNA from 1 species
GUUUAAGUAGCUUAAAUUCAAAGCACCAACCUUGUAAGCUGGUAAUUAGAGGACACAAUCCUUUCUUAAACG